GAUUGAGUUUGAUCAUGGCUCAGAACGAACGCUGGCGGCAGGCCUAACACAUGCAAGUCGAACGCCGUAGCAAUACGGAGUGGCAGACGGGUGAGUAACACGUGGGAACGUACCCUUCGGUUCGGAAUAACACAGAGAAAUUUGUGCUAAUACCGGAUAAGUGCGAGAGCAGAAAGAUUUAUCGCCGAAGGAUCGGCCCGCGUCCGAUUAGCUAGUUGGUGAGGUAAUGGCUCACCAAGGCGACGAUCGGUAGCUGGUCUGAGAGGAUGAUCAGCCACACUGGGACUGAGACACGGCCCAGACUCCUACGGGAGGCAGCAGUGGGGAAUAUUGGACAAUGGGCGCAAGCCUGAUCCAGCCAUGCCGCGUGAGUGAUGAAGGCCCUAGGGUUGUAAAGCUCUUUCGCCAGGGACGAUAAUGACGGUACCUGGAUAAGAAGCCCCGGCUAACUUCGUGCCAGCAGCCGCGGUAAUACGAAGGGGGCUAGCGUUGUUCGGAAUCACUGGGCGUAAAGCGCACGUAGGCGGAUCUUUAAGUCAGGGGUGAAAUCCCGAGGCUCAACCUCGGAACUGCCCUUGAUACUGGAGAUCUUGAGUUCGGGAGAGGUGAGUGGAACUGCGAGUGUAGAGGUGAAAUUCGUAGAUAUUCGCAAGAACACCAGUGGCGAAGGCGGCUCACUGGCCCGAUACUGACGCUGAGGGU
rnacentral:rRNA from 1 species